rnacentral:lncRNA from 10 species
CUGAAGCUCCCUCCACAGACUCCUCCACCCCAGAACCUUCCGACACCCUGUGUUGCCCAAGCUGGUCUGGAACUCCUGGGCUCAAGCAAUCCUCCCACCUCCCAGUGUUGAGAUUAUAGGUAUGUCUAGAGGUCAGUUUGGACAGGGACAGGAACCUCUAGACAUGUUUUUCUGGGUGAACGAGAUAAGCGGAGAAAUCACCUACCCCCCGCAGAAGGCAGAUGCACCUGCUGUUUCUCCUGAGAGCCCACAAAAGAAGCCCCCAUUUCAGCCCAGGAGUGUGCAGGAGGCUCCUUGCAGUCCCCAGGGCCCGCCUGCACAGAGGCCUGCCCUUGCACCUCCAUCUAAGCCUUCUCUGAAAGACUCAGGCUCAAGAAACCCCUGCCCAUCUGCACCCACCUGGGCCAGGCCAAAGCCGGAGGAGUGAGGAGCCCCCACCGUUCUCAGCAAUCCCUGUCACCAUCUCAUCACCAGGAGUGACUCUGCCCAUACUCGGACCCCUGGGACCAGCCCUUCAGCCACCGGUCUCGACCUCUCCUCUCAGCCCUUCUGCACCCUGGGCCUUCACCUGCAAGCUGAACAAUGUCCUUACUGGGAAUAACUGGUUUUCCUUUUGAAUCUUAAGAAAAUUUGUCUGGCUACACUCUUUAAGCACCUUCCUGAGCCACCCGUGGCCAGGCUCUGCUGGCCGCAUCUGCCUGGCCCCAUCUACCUUCCCUGGAAGCACAGGACUCACCCCAGGGGUCUCACAGGAACAUGCCCAGUGCUUUCAAACCCAGUAAAAUUUUACUUAGAUUUUGACAUA